UUUACUGAUAUUCUCUGAAGAAUCAAAACUGUGGGUCACACAAGGAGCAACAGAGAGAUACAGAGAGAUGGAAUGGGCUACAGUUUAUUACAAAUAAUAAUGACACUUUUUUCCUCAGGAAAAGACAUUUCUCCAGCACCUCUAUGGAGGACAUAUAGAAAAGAAGAAUAGGACCAGAAAGAAUGGAGAGAUUGCGUUCUCUGUUAGCAGAAGGAUAGAAGACCUGCAAAUAAUACCAAACCCUUGCAAAUACAGGAAGAAUGACUGCAUCUCUUUGUAUGAAGAGAUGAAUAAUUCCGGAAAGUUAACCACGC